UACGGGGGGGGCAAGCGUUGUUCGGAAUUACUGGGCGUAAAGGGCUUGUAGGUGGCCAACUAAGUCAGACGUGAAAUCCCUCGGCUUAACCGGGGAACUGCGUCUGAUACUGGAUGGCUUGAGUGUGGGAGAGGGAUGCGGAAUUCCUGGUGUAGCGGUGAAAUGCGCAGAUAUCAGGAGGAACACCGGUGGCGAAGGCGGGUCUCUGGGCCGAUACUGACGCUGAGGAGCGAAAGCGUGGGGAGCGAACAGG
rnacentral:rRNA from 1 species